UGAUGAUGAUGACGAUGAUGAUGGUGACGAUGAUGAUGGUGACAAUGGUGAUGAUGCUGAAUCAUCACCAUCAUCAUCAUCAUCGUCAUCAUCACCCCCG
rnacentral:pre_miRNA from 1 species